CAGACUGUACUUUCAGGGAUCGUUUCUAUACUUUGUUAAUAGAGAAGCUUCUCUGAUCAUGUAGAGCACCUAAAACCCUGAGAAAGAGCCAGAGCAUUCUCUCCUGGGCAGGAAGCCUAUUCUGGGUGCUGCUCUCACAAUUGCCUUUUACCAUUCUCAUCAUUCUUCUCUUCCCUUGAAAGAGAAGGAGAGGAUGCAGGCUGAGUGGU